rnacentral:rRNA from 1 species
UGGGGAAUAUUGCACAAUGGGCGCAAGCCUGAUGCAGCCAUGCCGCGUGUAUGAAGAAGGCCUUCGGGUUGUAAAGUACUUUCAGCGGGGAGGUAGGGAAUAAAGUUAAUACCUUUGCUCAUUGACGUUACCCGCAGAAGAAGCACCGGCUAACUCCGUGCCAGCAGCCGCGGUAAUACGGAGGGUGCAAGCGUUAAUCGGAAUUACUGGGCGUAAAGCGCACGCAGGCGGUUUGUUAAGUCAGAUGUGAAAUCCUCGGGCUCAACCUGGGAACUGCAUCUGAUACUGGCAAGCUUGAGUCUCGUAGAGGGGGGUAGAAUUCCAGGUGUAGCGGCGAAAUGCGUAGAGAUCUGGAGGAAUACCGGUGGCGAAGGCGGCCCCCUGGACGAAGACUGACGCUCAGGUGCGAAAGCGUGGGGAGCAAACAGG